CCUGGCUCAGGACGAACGCUGGCGGCGCGCCUAACACAUGCAAGUCGAACGAGAGAUGAGGAGCUUGCUCUUCAAAUCGAGUGGCGAACGGGUGAGUAACGCGUGAGGAACCUGCCUCAAAGAGGGGGACAACAGUUGGAAACGACUGCUAAUACCGCAUAAGCCCACGGCUCGGCAUCGAGCAGAGGGAAAAGGAGCAAUCCGCUUUGAGAUGGCCUCGCGUCCGAUUAGCUGGUUGGUGAGGUAACGGCCCACCAAGGCGACGAUCGGUAGCCGGACUGAGAGGUUGAACGGCCACAUUGGGACUGAGACACGGCCCAGACUCCUACGGGAGGCAGCAGUGGGGAAUAUUGCACAAUGGGGGAAACCCUGAUGCAGCGACGCCGCGUGGAGGAAGAAGGUCUUCGGAUUGUAAACUCCUGUUGUUGAGGAAGAUAAUGACGGUACUCAACAAGGAAGUGACGGCUAACUACGUGCCAGCAGCCGCGGUAAAACGUAGGUCACAAGCGUUGUCCGGAAUUACUGGGUGUAAAGGGAGCGCAGGCGGGAGAACAAGUUGGAAGUGAAAUCCAUGGGCUCAACCCAUGAACUGCUUUCAAAACUGUUUUUCUUGAGUAGUGCAGAGGUAGGCGGAAUUCCCGGUGUAGCGGUGGAAUGCGUAGAUAUCGGGAGGAACACCAGUGGCGAAGGCGGCCUACUGGGCACCAACUGACGCUGAGGCUCGAAAGUGUGGGUAGCAAACAGGAUUAGAUACCCUGGUAGUCCACACCGUAAACGAUGAUUACUAGGUGUUGGAGGAUUGACCCCUUCAGUGCCGCAGUUAACACAAUAAGUAAUCCACCUGGGGAGUACGACCGCAAGGUUGAAACUCAAAGGAAUUGACGGGGGCCCGCACAAGCAGUGGAGUAUGUGGUUUAAUUCGACGCAACGCGAAGAACCUUACCAAGUCUUGACAUCCCUUGACGAACAUAGAAAUAUGUUUUCUCUUCGGAGCAAGGAGACAGGUGGUGCAUGGUCGUCGUCAGCUCGUGUCGUGAGAUGUUGGGUUAAGUCCCGCAACGAGCGCAACCCUUAUGGUCAGUUACUACGCAAGAGGACUCUGGCCAGACUGCCGUUGACAAAACGGAGGAAGGUGGGGAUGACGUCAAAUCAUCAUGCCCUUUAUGACUUGGGCUACACACGUACUACAAUGGCGUUAAACAAAGAGAAGCAAGACCGCGAGGUGGAGCAAAACUCAGAAACAACGUCCCAGUUCGGACUGCAGGCUGCAACUCGCCUGCACGAAGUCGGAAUUGCUAGUAAUCGUGGAUCAGCAUGCCACGGUGAAUACGUUCCCGGGCCUUGUACACACCGCCC
rnacentral:rRNA from 1 species